rnacentral:rRNA from 1 species
UGGGGAAUAUUGCACAAUGGGCGCAAGCCUGAUGCAGCCAUGCCGCGUGUGUGAAGAAGGCCUUCGGGUUGUAAAGCACUUUCAGCGAGGAGGAAGGUGGUGAGCUUAAUACGCUCAUCAAUUGACGUUACUCGCAGAAGAAGCACCGGCUAACUCCGUGCCAGCAGCCGCGGUAAUACGGAGGGUGCAAGCGUUAAUCGGAAUUACUGGGCGUAAAGCGCACGCAGGCGGUUUGUUAAGUCAGAUGUGAAAUCCCCGGGCUCAACCUGGGAACUGCAUUUGAAACUGGCAAGCUAGAGUCUCGUAGAGGGGGGUAGAAUUCCAGGUGUAGCGGUGAAAUGCGUAGAGAUCUGGAGGAAUACCGGUGGCGAAGGCGGCCCCCUGGACGAAGACUGACGCUCAGGUGCGAAAGCGUGGGGCAGCAAACAGGAUUAGAUACCCUGGUAGUCCACGCUGUAAACGAUGUCGAUUUUGGAGGUUGUGCCCUUGAGGCGUGGCUUCCGGAGCUAACGCGUUAAAGUCGACCGCCUGGGGAGUACGGCGCAAGGUUAAAACUUAAAUGAAUUGCGGGUCUAGCUGUUCC